rnacentral:rRNA from 1 species
UACAGAGGUCUCAACCGUUGUUCGGAUUCAUUGGGCGUAAAGGGUGCGUAGGCGGUCGCGCAAGUCGGAUGUGAAAUCUCAGGGCUCAACCCUGAAACUGCAUUCGAUACUGCGUGGCUAGAGUGCUGGAGAGGAGACUGGAAUUUACGGUGUAGCAGUGAAAUGCGUAGAUAUCGUAAGGAAGACCAGUGGCGAAGGCGGGUCUCUGGACAGUUCCUGACGCUGAGGCACGAAGGCCAGGGGGGGCAAACAGG